rnacentral:rRNA from 1 species
UACGAAGGGGGCUAGCGUUGCUCGGAAUCACUGGGCGUAAAGCGCACGUAGGCGGACUCUUAAGUCGGUGGUGAAAUCCUGGAGCUCAACUCCAGAACUGCCUUUGAUACUGGCGACCUUGAGUUCGGGAGAGGUGAGUGGAACUGCGAGUGUAGAGGUGAAAUUCGUAGAUAUUCGCAAGAACACCAGUGGCGAAGGCGGCUCACUGGCCCGAUACUGACGCUGAGGCACGAAAGCGUGGGGAGCAAACAGG